ACCAUCCCUUAGAAUGGGCCUUUUUUAGACAUCAGUGGGUCUAUGUGAAGCAGAAUAAAUUAAAAUAAUUCAAGAUUUGUAAUGUUUUUAAUCUACUGUAAGAGACAACUUAUGGC